GGGCUGCACGGGUCGGGGGCGGCUCCCUGCUGCUUCCGAGCCUAGCCGCCUGGCCUUCGGCAUUUGCAGGCAGACACACUGCCCUCCAGAAACGAUGGGUGUCGCUAGAUCCAGCUGGGACUCUGCCAGCCUCCGGCACUCAGUCUAAGAGAAGGGCCAUCUUCCAGCCCUGCUGUCCCUGCCUGUCAUGGCCACAUUCGGCUGCUGUCUGCAUGUCUGGGGACACAGGGCACCCAGCCCCAGCCCUGAGAAGUUAAGCCAGGCCUUCUGGCUCAGUUCCACAGGGGCACUCCAGACCCCAGGCCCCUUUCAGAGCAAAAGCAACUGAUGCUAUGGGAGAAGCCCCUGCCCACCUGUCCACUCGCCUGGCACUGCCCACUCUGAGACCCAUGCACUGGGUUCCCCUGGAGGUGCCAACCCUGUGAGUCCCUCCCUGUCCCCUGACGCUGAGAAGGCCCUGCCAACCCCCACCAUGUGUGAGGUGAUGCCCACAAUCAAUGAGGGGGACCGCCUGGGUCCCCCUCAUGGCGCCGAUGCUGACGCCAACUUCGAGCAGCUGAUGGUGAACAUGCUGGACGAGCGGGA
rnacentral:lncRNA from 1 species